rnacentral:tRNA from 1 species
AAAGUAUGACGUUCAAGUAAAGCUGCUAACUUUUUCUUUUAAUGGUUAAAUUCCAUUUAUACUUUU